GCCGGCUUAGCUCAGUUGGUAGAGCAACCGCCUUGUAAGCGGUAGGUCGCGAGUUCAAGUCUCGCAGCCGGCACCA
rnacentral:tRNA from 2 species